GUGCUCACUUCAGCAGCACAUAUACUAAAAUUAGAAUGAUAUAGACAAUAUUAUCAUGGUCCCUAAGUAAGGAUGACAGGCAAAUUUAUGAAGCAUUCCAUAUUUUU
rnacentral:snRNA from 1 species